rnacentral:lncRNA from 1 species
CUUCCUCUGAACAAACUUGGCCCAUGCCUUGAAAUAAUCCCAUUUAGGAAAGUAGUCAAGGAUAAUUUUACUUUUCUGUUUAGGGUGUUCCCUUUUAGAAAACAAAAUGAUGUUGGCAACAUUUUCUUGGUUGGGACAAGACUUGUGAGUGAUUAUUCCAUAGGAUUCCAGAUUUCCAUAGAGUUCCUCCUUGGUGUAGGAUUGCAUCUUUUGAACUAACUGUGGGCUGUCUAGGAUCACAUCACAGGGUAUGGAGAAAUCUCUAAACUCCCCAUAGUACCAGGUAAGUGCAUUCAUAUCCCCACCCUAGAAACCCUUAACGUUAAAAAUGAAGUUUUAAGUCUAAUCGUAUUGGUUGGGCACCCUACUUUGAGCAUACUCUGAAAGCAUAUAUAGAGUUAGUCUGCGUGUUCUACACCAUUUUUUAAUUUUGUAAAUAGACUAAUUUCACCGUGAAAACACCAAAAUUAAUCUCCUUCCAUUUGAUGGGCAUCUACUUCAACUACU